ensembl:lncRNA
AAAGGAACGAUAAACCACGACCUACCUGCGUUAUCCAUCCCGCUGGUGUGCUUUCUGUCCCACCCUCCAAGACUGUAAAUUGAGCGCUCAGAUCGCUGCUGCUGCUGCUACUGCUGCAGAAAAAAGCAUGAGUCUCUGGGCUGCCUUUCGAGGGAGUACUCACGCCCAUUCUUUGUGUGUGGCCACUGCAACGAGACUUCUCAGAAGUGCCCCACAAUUAAGACACAUUGCGUGGACUAAUAGGUUUGUUUGCACAGUCAUACGUGCUAUGCUGGGAGCUUGGGGGCCCCUGAGGUUGGCAAAGAUCACUCGCUCUUAGGGACUAUCAUUUAUAUGCUCUGGUUUUGUCAUAUCUCUGUCUGAUUAAUCCGAAAUGAAGGGGGAAUGCAGCGGGUAACCUUGCAGUUACAUGGUACAUUCAGCAUGCAUGUAUAUGUUACUAAUUUGGGACUUAAAGCAAUUUUUUUAUGAAUCAAAUACAGAUACUCGUGCGCCAUCCAGUGGCGGAUCUAAAUUGUGCAUAAGGGCUGUCAGGUUAUUAGAGAUACACAAGGGGGGUAAAAAAAAAAAAAUCAAAGAAUCUAAGAGAUUAAGACAAUAAACUUGUGUGGCAUCUCACCUGCAUGCUCCACUGACACAUGGUUGUCAACAGUCUUCCAUCACAUCACAAAUAAAACAAAGAUCUCACAACCAGGUUCAAAGCAGGUAAAGCUUCAACAAAGCUCACUUCACCGAGUAUGACCCGCACUUCUCUGUUCCACCCUUAGCCUUCUUCUUUUCAACUUCUGACAUGCCAUCAUCCUUUGAAGAGCUGUAGAGGGUUCCUAUCAGUGCUCCACACUUCUGAAUGGUUUGAGGAUGGGCUUCACAAGUAUCGAACCUCACGCUGGACCUUUAAUGAGCUGUCGUUUUCACACUUCCUACCAAGUGCUAAGUGGCUGCAUUAUACAUGUACACAGCAGAUACUGUAGGCCAGCUGUUUUAUCCACUCAAGUAAAGGAACAGACUGUGUUACUUUUGAUUUAUCAGAGCUGGAAUUUGUUUUAGGGUUUCACGCAAGUAAGCGAUUGGAUAAGAUGAGCAGGUAGAGAAUAUAUCACUGUUAAUAAGUGUUGAAAGCUCAGACACAGCUGAAGAAUAUGUGACUUGUGCAGUGUGUUUCACAUGCCUUUGUACAUGCUAAGUCCUCUACUAAAAAUACAUUAUUUUAGGCUUAAUCAUGGUUAAUCCUUUGCUCCCUUCAUUCCCAUUUGACAAACACUGCACUGUCACAGCCGACUGACAAACCAUGCGGAAGAGUGACAUCAGGUAUCCAAGAGCCACAGCUGUCCUCGGGCCUUUAGAAGGACACAUAGCUACAGAAAUCAUCAAAUGUCAAGUACGGGGGACAAGCAAGCAAAAAGGAUGUGGCCUACAUGCCAUUACUAUACCAGGGGCUGCUGUUGCCCUGAAAGGGACUUCACUUUCAUCAGGCAAGCUGAUCAGCU